rnacentral:rRNA from 1 species
UAGCAUAUCAUUUGACGUUAGCUGCAGAAGAAGCACCGGCUAACUCCGUGCCAGCAGCGCGGGUAAUACGGAGGGUGCGAGCGUUAAUCGGAAUUACUGGGCGUAAAGCGCAUGCAGGUGGUUUGUUAAGUCAGAUGUGAAAGCCCGGGGCUCAACCUCGGAAUUGCAUUUGAAACUGGCAAACUAGAGUACUGUAGAGGGGGGUAGAAUUUUCAGGUGUAGCGGUGAAAUGCGUAGAGAUCUGAAGGAAUACCGGUGGCGAAGGCGGCCCCCUGGACAGAUACUGACACUCAGAUGCGAAAGCGUGGGGAGCAAACAGGAUUAGAUACCCUGUAG